rnacentral:rRNA from 1 species
UACGUAGGCAGCAAGCGUUGUUCGGAAUUACUGGGCGUAAAGAGUGUGUAGGCGGUGUCGUAAGUUUGGGCGUGAAAUCUCCCGGCUUAACUGGGAGGGUGCGCCGAAGACUGCGAUGCUUGAGGGUUGGAGAGGAAAGUGGAAUUUCUGGUGUAGCGGUGAAAUGCGUAGAUAUCAGAAGGAACACCUGUGGUGUAGACGGCUUUCUGGACAACUCCUGACGCUGAGACACGAAAGCGUGGGUAGCAGACAGG